AGUGAACGCUGGCGGCAGGCCUAACACAUGCAAGUCGAACGGCAGCACAGUAAGAGCUUGCUCUUACGGGUGGCGAGUGGCGGACGGGUGAGGAAUACAUCGGAAUCUACUUUUUCGAGGGGGAUAACGUAGGGAAACUUACGCCAAUACCGCAUACGACCUACGGGGGUAAGCAGGGGAUCUUCGGACCUUGCGCGAUUGAAUGAGCCGAUGUCGGAUUAGCUAGUUGGCGGGGUAAAGGCCCACCAAGGCGACGAUCCGUAGCUGGUCUGAGAGGAUGAUCAGCCACGCUGGAACUGAGACACGGUCCAGACUCCUACGGGAGGCAGCAGUGGGGAAUUUUGGACAAUGGGCGCAAGCCUGAUCCAGCCAUACCGCGUGGGUGAAGAAGGCCUUCGGGUUGUAAAGCCCUUUUGUUGGGAAAGAAAAGCAGCAGGUUAAUACCCCGCUGUUCUGACGGUACCCAAAGAAUAAGCACCGGCUAACUUCGUG
rnacentral:rRNA from 1 species